CCAGACUCCUACGGGAGGCAGCAGUGGGGAAUAUUGCACAAUGGGCGCAAGCCUGAUGCAGCCAUGCCGCGUGUAUGAAGAAGGCCUUCGGGUUGUAAAGUACUUUCAGCGGUGAGGAAGGCGAUAAGGUUAAUAACCUUGUCGAUUGACGUUACCCGCAGAAGAAGCACCGGCUAACUCCGUGCCAGCAGCCGCGGUAAUACGGAGGGUGCAAGCGUUAAUCGGAAUUACUGGGCGUAAAGCGCACGCAGGCGGUCUGUCAAGUCGGAUGUGAAAUCCCCGGGCUCAACCUGGGAACUGCAUGCGAAACUGGCAGGCUGGAGUCUUGUAGAGGGGGGGAGAAUUCCAGGGGGAGCGGGGAAAUGCGUAGAGAUCUGGAGGAAUACCGGUGGCGGAGGCGGCCCCCUGGACAAAGACUGACGCUCAGGUGCGAAAGCGUGGGGAGCAAACAGGAUUAGAUACCCUCGUAC
rnacentral:rRNA from 1 species